UUUCCGCAGGUGAACCUGCGGAAGGAUCAUUAUUGAAUAUGCUUGAUAGGUUGUAGCUGGCUCUUCGGAGUAUGUGCACGCUUAUCUUGACUUAAUUCAUCCACCUGUGCACCUUUUGUAGUCUUGGGGGUUGAGAUCGGUCGACUAUCGGAUGGCCAAGGUCAUUCCGGAUGUGAGGAAUGCUGAGUGCGAAAGCAUAAAGCUAUUCUCAAAUGACUUGUCUUCCUCGAGUACUUUGUAUUCAUAUACCACAUAGUAUGUUGUAGAAUGUGAUCAAUGGGUCUAUGUACCUAUAAUAAUCAUAUACAACUUUCAGCAACGGAUCUCUUGGCUCUC
rnacentral:misc_RNA from 1 species